rnacentral:rRNA from 1 species
AUUGAACGCUGGCGGCAGGCUUAACACAUGCAAGUCGAACGAGUGGCGGACGGGUGAGUAAUGCUUGGGAAUCUAGCUUAUGGAGGGGGAUCACUACGGGAAACUGUAGCUAAUACCGCUUACCAUAGGAUGAGCCCUAGUGGGAUUAGGUAGUUGGUGAGGUAAAGGCUCACCAAGCCGACGAUCUCUAGCUGGUCUGAGAGGAUGACCAGCAACACGGGGACUGAGACACGGCCCAGACUCCUACGGGAGGAAGCAGUGGGGAAUAUUGCGCAAUGGGGGCAACCUGACGAAGCCAGGCCGCGUGAAUGAAGAAGGCCUUCGGGUUGUAAAGUUCUUUCGGUAGCGAGGCGUUAACUACAGAAGAAGCACCGGCUAACUCCGUGCCAGCAGCCGCGGUAAUUC